AUUGAACGCUGGCGGCAGGCUUAACACAUGCAAGUCGAGCGGAGAUGAGGUGCUUGCACCUUAUCUUAGCGGCGGACGGGUGAGUAAUGCUUAGGAAUCUGCCUAUUAGUGGGGGACAACAUUCCGAAAGGAAUGCUAAUACCGCAUACGUCCUACGGGAGAAAGCAGGGGAUCUUCGGACCUUGCGCUAAUAGAUGAGCCUAAGUCGGAUUAGCUAGUUGGUGGGGUAAAGGCCUACCAAGGCGACGAUCUGUAGCGGGUCUGGGAGGAUGAUCCGCCACACUGGGACGGAGACACGGCCCAGACGCCUACGGGAGGCAGCAGUGGGGAAGAUUGGACAAUGGGGGGAACCCGGGUCCAGCCAUGCCGCGUGUGUGAAGAAGGCCUUAUGGUUGUAAAGCACUUUAAGCGAGGAGGAGGCUACUGAGACUAAUACUCUUGGAUAGUGGACGUUACUCGCAGAAUAAGCACCGGCUAACUCUGUGCCAGCCGCCGCCGUAA
rnacentral:rRNA from 1 species